ensembl:lncRNA
GGUCUGUGCCUUUGGCAGCAGCCUGGCGUCUGGACCACACACAGGAGUCCUCGCAGAGGAAGCCACUCCCCGCCUGCUCAUGGCUGUGAUGGCACAAAGCAGGAUUCCCAGCCCUUUUCCACAGGGAAAGCAUCUACUAAUUAUGCUCAAGUUUCGGACUUUGAAGGACGCAAGAUGGGUUGGUCCAGACCCUUUGAUGGUGCUGAACCAUCCCUGUACUGAGCAGCUGGAGGUCUGGGUUCCCACUAGGAGCCACCACAGAGAUGUGACCUUCAAAUUCAGUGUUUUGUGAACUGCCUACAGCUGAGACGGAAUUGAGGCAUCAGCUCCCAUGAACAAUGCCAGAAACACAUUCUCUUGCAGUUUUCCAUCUCACGUUUACCAGGUGUCUCCAGAAUUAAAGAGAAGCGAAAAGGAACUUCAACUAUAUUAGUAUCAUGGUUAACCAUGCCAGAAAUUAUGGCAAGAGGCUAUUCCCCUGAGUACAUCAGAUAAGAAGACUUACUUCUCCACAUUGCAGCUAAAGUAAGGAACAGCUCUGUCGCUGACUGCAUCCUUUGACAAGACCUGUUGUUUUACAAAUCCC